CAGUCGCCACGGUAAUCCGUAGGUCCCGAGCGUUGUCCGGAUUUAUUGGGCGUAAGGGGAGCGCAGGCGGUUUAGUAAGUCUGAAGUUAAAGGCAUUGGCUCAACCAAUGUAUGCUUUGGAAACUGUUAGACUUGAGUGCAGAAGGGGAGAGUGGAAUUCCAUGUGUAGCGGUGAAAUGCGUAGAUAUAUGGAGGAACACCGGUGGCGAGAGCGGCUCUCUGGUCUGUCACUGACGCUGAGGCUCGAAAGCGUGGGUAGCGAACAGGAUUAGAUACCCCGGUAGUCCCUGUCUCUUAUACA
rnacentral:rRNA from 1 species